GUCUUACCAGCUCAGUUGGUAGAGCAUGGUGUUUGCAACGCCAGGGUUGUGGGUUUGAUUCCCACGGGGGACC
rnacentral:tRNA from 1 species